UACGUAGGGUGCAAGCGUUAAUCGGAAUUACUGGGCGUAAAGCGUGCGCAGGCGGUUAUGUAAGACAGAUGUGAAAUCCCCGGGCUCAACCUGGGACCUGCAUUUGUGACUGCAUAGCUGGAGUACGGUAGAGGGGGAUGGAAUUCCGCGUGUAGCAGUGAAAUGCGUAGAUAUGCGGAGGAACACCGAUGGCGAAGGCAAUCCCCUGGACCUGUACUGACGCUCAGGCGCGAAAGCGUGGGGAGCAAACAGG
rnacentral:rRNA from 1 species